ACUAUAACUCCGCCUAUGUCUUCUAGGCAUAGCCGGUCCCAAGCCCGGGUAAAGGAGGAGGGUUGU
rfam:Triticum aestivum genome assembly, contig: Triticum_aestivum_CS42_TGACv1_scaffold_344341_4DL